GAAACACAAUGUAACAAAAUAAAUAGUUACAAAUUGAAGAAGUUAUUUGGAUGGGAUAAAUUCCAUCAAGUUACAGAAAAAAGAAAAGACCAAACCAAUUGGAUACUAAGAUGUCUAGCUAGAGCUAAACAAAAGUUGACAAGAAACAAAACUUGAUAGCUACACAGAUUUUAACUUGCUGAAAUAAAAUAGAUAAUGCUUCACUGAUUUACGGCGUUGAGCAGUCUUCAGAUAUCAUAGCUAGGUCUCCUUACCGGCUAACAGAGGAGUGGAAGUUGCAGAGAAACCAACUCCAUUAGACUCGGGGGUGGAGCACUCAGGCGAUUUCUUGCUGAGGCCAUAUGGUGCUAAGUUCAUCACCCUUUCCUUGCGCUUCUCCAGAAAACGAGCCAAAGAUGCUUUCCUAGCUUGUGGAACCGCUGCUGUCAUUAUGGUAGUCGCCCCAACAGGUCCUAGUGAUGUCACAAUCUUUGAAGUGUCCAAUUUGACAUGGGGAGUCACUGAAAUGUUUGCAGUUUUAGACAUCUUCAUGUCAUCUUUGUUUCCAGAACUGCCAUCAGAUUGACCAAUGGGAUGGGAAGAAACGGACAUAGGGCUAGAAAGACCCGAGGCAGGCAGCAUGUUUGGGGUUUGGUUCACACAAACACCAUCUGCAGCAGCAGGUUUCGAUGCAGAUGCCUGAAGUUGAAACCUUGGCUGCACCACAUUAGGUGGAGCACAGCCAUGUCCAGCCAAAAACAUAAUAGCCUGUGCCUUCUCAGGGGAGAUAUCCUCGAAGACAUUGACCAUCCCACCAUAGAAGAUGGUCAGUUGAGCAGGUGCUGCAGAACCCUUGGAAUUAAACCAAGGUUCGGUUGUUCCAGCCACAGAGCCACGCGAUGGAAGCAUUGAAUGAGGAGCUGUAACAGGAAUUCCACCAAGAACUUGCUUCAUCUGGCCAAUACCACCAAAAUGAGUCUUGUAGGAGGGGUUGUUCAUGUUAAAUGGAAGCAUCUUAACAUCAUAUGGAAGAUGCAUUGCAUGCACAUUCUGGAGUUCACCAGGCUGACGUUUGAGACCAGCAUCGACUCCAUCUGUGGCAGAUAGAGCUUUGAAGGUGUUCUCAUCUUGAGCAGAGUUCAAGGACAUGAAAUGAGGUACACCAACCUUGCUCGACAUUGGCCAGCGAAACCCAGAGUCUUUUGAGCUUUCAACAGGUUCAUCCUUGACUACAAGUAAAGAAUCUUUGAUAUUCAAUCCCAUAAAGUCCCUCUCCAUCUCUUUGAAUUUUCAAGAAACACCCAAAAUUCAAGAUUUCAAGAGAAUAUAAAGAACCCCACGAAGCAGAUCAAACCAAAACAAAACUAGAAGAGAAAAAAUAAACCAGAAACCCAAAAGCAAAGAAAAGUGAGAAAGGAAUGAAAGAGAAAUAGUUUAUAGUACAAAAUGC
rnacentral:misc_RNA from 1 species